AUCCACUUAGGUGACUCAUAUCCUAAAUUCAGGUCAUGUCUUCUAGAUUAUACAGAAAGAGGGCAUCUGUGAGAACCCACUGCUGGCUGGAACAUGAGAUGGGGCAUGACAGUUCCCCUUGGCUCAGAGGGCAACAGAGAAGUGGUUCCUGCUUUCUCAUAUCUGAAGAAGUCUUCCAUGUUUACCCGCAGAAGGUACAGCUAGCAAAAAAAGCGGAAAUGGGCAAGGAAUCUUUACUUGGCUGCAGUGCAGUGUCCCAGCAGGAGAAGUCUUGCUGCAGGCUGGCACUGCCAGUGAGGUGCAUGUGCUGGAGAUCUUUUCAUAUCCUGUGUCCAAAGCUAAAUGAAGCUUACAUUUUACAGCAAGUCUUACAGUCUUUCCUUCUACAUCAUUGGGC
rnacentral:lncRNA from 1 species